rnacentral:lncRNA from 1 species
UAGUAUCAUCAUGAGGAUGGUGAUCGAUUCAGAUAGAUUGACGUACAGAUUGCUUCCUUCGAGGUAGAUGAGUCUUUGGUUUACAGUGUAAAAAUAUUGAGUGAUGAGUGCGGGUAGUUGUGAGAGAAUAACUAGUAUUGAGCGUGAUCAUAUGAGAGAUCACUUGGAUUUUUACUCGAUCGUCAGUCGUUGUCUUGAUACUGUGGUUGUGUAAAUGAUCCUUUGACCUACGAUGGUAUGACUGCUCGCAGUGAGGCUACU